rnacentral:rRNA from 1 species
AUUGAACGCUGGCGGCAGGCCUAACACAUGCAAGUCGAGCGGAUGAAGGGAGCUUGCUCCUGGAUUCAGCGGCGGACGGGUGAGUAAUGCCUAGGAAUCUGCCUGGUAGUGGGGGAUAACGUCCGGAAACGGGCGCUAAUACCGCAUACGUCCUGAGGGAGAAAGUGGGGGAUCUUCGGACCUCACGCUAUCAGAUGAGCCUAGGUCGGAUUAGCUAGUUGGUGGGGUAAAGGCCUACCAAGGCGACGAUCCGUAACUGGUCUGAGAGGAUGAUCAGCCACACUGGAACUGAGACACGGUCCAGACUCCUACGGGAGGCAGCAGUGGGGAAUUUUGGACAAUGGGCGAAAGCCUGAUCCAGCCAUGCCGCGUGUGUGAAGAAGGUCUUCGGAUUGUAAAGCACUUUAAGUUGGGAGGAAGGGCAGUAAGUUAAUACCGUGCUGUUUUGACGUUACCAUCAGAAUAAGCACCGGCUAACUUCGUG